GCCUUCGUGGUGUAGUGGUUAGAACGCUCGAUGAGUAACCGAGAGGUCCGCGGUUCGAUUCCCGGCGAAGGCG
rfam:Stegodyphus mimosarum contig98126, whole genome shotgun sequence.